GGGACGAUCGUUCUAAGAAAAGAGGGGUGGAGCACCUUGGGGGUAUGUGAAAACCCUCGAGUUGAGUAGGUGAGACAGUGAAAGGGAGUUCGAGUGAGAGAAGAAAACAGAGAGAAAGACGAUAGAGAGAACCGUGAAAGAGAGGGAGGAAAAUCUGAGAGAGAGUGAGAAGAGCGGUGGUUCAGGGCAACACCCACAAUCCUCAUCUCCUUAAUUGUGCUAUCAUCCAUUGUCCGGUGAGCUUCAACCUGCGUUACCAUCGAUCCAUCACACCUUUGCCAUUAAAUCUUCAACCUACCACUUCUUUGUCGUUGAUCCAUCACACUUCUGCCGUUAAAUCUUCAACCUACCACUUCUCUGUCAUCGACCUGCUCCCUACUGUCAUCUAUUGAAUUGCCGACCAAAGAGUUCCACUUCGUUCACUCGAGUACUUCAAACCCAUCUGCGAAUAUCAACGUUGUUGAUACUUGUAAAGGCCACAAGAGCCACAGUUAUAGACUUACAGUCACAUAAUCACGAAGUCACAAGUUGAAGUGGUGCUGUGCACUCGUGCUAAGAAGGAAGCCUGAAGAAGACUGGUUACUGCCUUACUGGUUUAGACGUUGGAGAUUUGGAGAAUACUAGAAUGAUCAAGACGUUCGAACUUGGAGUUGGAAACUCAGAACUCAGGAGGUUUGGCUGGAAAUGAAAAGGCGAAGAAACUGGAAAGGAAAUGCGCCAAAAGAACCAAAGAAGCUGAAAGCUUGCACAAGUACAAGGAAUUGGUGCUGGUUUUAUUCCUGAUGUUUUGAAGGUUGAUCUCAUCAGUGAAGUUAUUCAAGGAAGCCAUUAAGAUCUUUAAUUAGGUGAUCUUUUUCAGUGUUAAUGAGUAGUUGAAAUUAGGCUAAGUGAUGUAAUUUACUGCAGGAUUGUCUCCAUUAUUGUAUUAUCAUAUUUUGCUGUUGUUAGUCGGGAUUAACAAUCUUAUUGGUGUAUCUAUAAUCCAGCACUCUCUCUUAAAUAUCAGUAAAUUUCUUGAGUCAUAUUUAUUUCA